GGGCGAAAGCCUGAUGCAGCGACGCCGCGUGAGGGAUGACGGCCUUCGGGUUGUAAACCUCUUUCAGCAGGGAAGAAGCGAAAGUGACGGUACCUGCAGAAGAAGCGCCGGCUAACUACGUGCCAGCAGCCGCGGUAAUACGUAGGGCGCAAGCGUUGUCCGGAAUUAUUGGGCGUAAAGAGCUCGUAGGCGGCUUGUCACGUCGGUUGUGAAAGCCCGGGGCUUAACCCCGGGUCUGCAGUCGAUACGGGCAGGCUAGAGUUCGGUAGGGGAGAUCGGAAUUCCUGGUGUAGCGGUGAAAUGCGCAGAUAUCAGGAGGAACACCGGUGGCGAAGGCGGAUCUCUGGGCCGAUACUGACGCUGAGGAGCGAAAGCGUGGGGAGCGAACAGGAUUAGAUACCCUGGUAGUCCACGCCGUAAACGGUGGGCACUAGGUGUGGGCAACAUUCCACGUUGUCCGUGCCGCAGCUAACGCAUUAAGUGCCCCGCCUGGGGAGUACGGCCGCAAGGCUAAAACUCAAAGGAAUUGACGGGGG
rnacentral:rRNA from 1 species